rnacentral:rRNA from 1 species
GCCUAUGGCCAAAUCAUCCUGAAUGAGCUCGAUAUUAUCACAUCUCGUAAGCUAAGCAGUGAUGAGCCCGGCUGGUGUUUGGAUGGUAGACUGCCUCGGAAUACAAAGGGGCCGUCCAUAAGUG